GAUGAACGCUGGCGGCGUGCCUAAUACAUGCAAGUCGAGCGGGGCGGGGACGGGUGAGUCACACGUGUCUGACCUCCUAUAAGACUGGGAUCACUUCAGGGACCCUGAUCUAAACCCGAUCCUUAUACAUGUAUCCUCGCUGCAUUAGCUAGGUGGUAAGGUAACGGCUUACCAAGGCAACGAUGCAUAGCCGACCUGAGAGGAUGAUCGGCCACACUGGAACUGAGACACGGUCCAGACUCCUACGGGAGGCAGCAGUAGGGAAUCUUGCGCAAUGGGCGAAAGCCUGACGCAGCCACGCCGCGUGAGUGAAGAAGGUCUUCGGAUCGUAAAGCUCUUUUAGUAGGGAGGCGGUACCUAAACAGAAAGCACCGGCUAACUACGUGCCAGCAGCCGCGGUAAUAC
rnacentral:rRNA from 1 species